UGAGGAAUAUUGGUCAAUGGGCGCAAGCCUGAACCAGCCAUGCCGCGUGCAGGAAGACGGUCCUAUGGAUUGUAAACUGCUUUUAUUUGGGAAUAAACCUCUUUACGUGUAGAGAGCUGAAGGUACCAAAUGAAUAAGCACCGGCUAACUCCGUGCCAGCAGCCGCGGUAAUACGGAGGGUGCAAGCGUUAUCCGGAAUCAUUGGGUUUAAAGGGUCCGCAGGCGGACUUAUAAGUCAGUGGUGAAAUCCUACAGCUUAACUGUAGAACUGCCAUUGAUACUGUAAGUCUUGAAUUCGGUCGAAGUGGGCGGAAUGUGACAUGUAGCGGUGAAAUGCUUAGAUAUGUCACAGAACACCGAUAGCGAAGGCAGCUCACUAGGCCGAUAUUGACGCUCAGGGACGAAAGCGUGGGGAGCAAACAGG
rnacentral:rRNA from 1 species